rnacentral:rRNA from 1 species
CCUACGGGAGGCAGUAGUGGGGAAUAUUGGACAAUGGGGGGAACCCUGAUCCAGCCAUGCCGCGUGUGUGAAGAAGGCCCUCGGGUUGUAAAGCACUUUCAGUGAGGAAGAAGGCCUGGUGGUUAAUACCCAUCAGGAAAGACAUCACUCACAGAAGAAGCACCGGCUAACUCCGUGCCAGCAGCCGCGGUAAUACGGAGGGUGCGAGCGUUAAUCGGAAUUACUGGGCGUAAAGCGCGCGUAGGUGGCUUGAUAAGCCGGUUGUGAAAGCCCCGGGCUCAACCUGGGAACGGCAUCCGGAACUGUCAAGCUAGAGUGCAGGAGAGGAAGGUAGAAUUCCCGGUGUAGCGGUGAAAUGCGUAGAGAUCGGGAGGAAUACCAGUGGCGAAGGCGGCCUUCUGGACUGACACUGACACUGAGGUGCGAAAGCGUGGGUAGCAAACAGGAUUAGAUACCCCGGUAGUC